AUUGAACGCUGGCGGCAGGCCUAACACAUGCAAGUCGAACGGUAACAGGAAGAAUCUUGCUUCUUUGCUGACGAGUGGCGGACGGGUGAGCAAUGUCUUGGAAACUGCCUGAUGGAGGGUGAUAACUACUGGAAACGGUAGCUAAUACCGCAUAACGUCGCAAGACCAAAGAGGGGGACCUUCGUGCCUCUUGCCAUCGGGUGUGCCCAGAUGGGAUUAACUAGUAGGAGGGGUAACGGCUCACCUAGGCGACGAUCCCUAGCUGGUCUGAGAGGAUGACCCGCCACACUGGAACUGAGACACGGUCCAGACUCCUACGGGAGGCAGCAGUGGGGAAUAUUGCGCAAUGGGCGCAAGCCUGAUGCAGCCAUGCCACGUGUAUGAAGAAGGCCUUCGGGUUGUAAAGUACUUUCAGCGGGGAGGAAGGGAGUAAAGUUAAUCCCUUUGCUCAUUGACGUUACCCGCAGAAGAAGCACCGGCUAACUCCGUG
rnacentral:rRNA from 1 species